rnacentral:piRNA from 1 species
UUAAUCUUGGACCAUGCCUUUUCUCU